rnacentral:rRNA from 1 species
CCUACGGGAGGCAGCAGUGGGGGAUAUUGCACAAUGGGGGCAACCCUGAUGCAGCGACGCCGCGUGAGCGAUGGAGUACUUCGGUAUGUAAAGCUCUGUCAGCAGGGAAGAGAAUGACGGUAACUGACCAAGAAGCCCCGGCUAAAUACGUUCCGGCAGCCGCGGUAAUACGUAUGGGGCAAGCGUUAUCCGGAUUUACUGGGUGUAAAGGGAGCGUAGGGGGCAGGGUAAGCCUGAUGUGAAAGCCCGGGGCUCAACCCCGGGACGGCAUUGGGAACUGCCCCGCUCGAGUGCCGGAGGGGCAGGCGGAAUUCCUAGUGUAGCGGUGAAAUGCGUAGAUAUUAGGAGGAACACCAGUGGCGAAGGCGGCCUGCUGGACGGUGUACUGACGCUGAGGCUCGAAAGCGUGGGGAGCAAACAGGAUUAGAUACCCUUGUAGUC